rnacentral:rRNA from 1 species
GACGAACGCUGGCGGCGUGCUUAACACAUGCAAGUCGAACGGAAAGGCCUGCUUUCCCUUGUGGAUUGCGGGUACUCGAGUGGCGAACGGGUGAGUAACACGUGAGUGAUCUGCCCCCAACUUGGGUAUAAGCCUGGGAAACUGGGUCUAAUUCCCGAUAGGACUGCAGGGUGGUGCCUGUGGUGGAACACGAUUUUCUAGUGGUUGGGGAUGAGCUCGCGGCCUAUCAGCUUGUUGGUGGGGUAAUGGCCUACCAAGGCGGCGACGGGUAGCCGGCCUGAGAGGGUGGACGGCCACAUUGGGACUGGGAUACGGCCCAGACUCCUACGGGAGGCAGCAGUGGGGAAUAAUGCACAAUGGGCGGAAGCCUGAUGCAGCGACGCCGCGUGGGGGAUGACGGCCUUCGGGUUGUAAACUCCUUUCGACCGCGAGGAAGCCACCUGGUUGGAAGGGUGGUGACGGUAGUGGUAGAAGAAGCACCGGCUAACUACGUG